rnacentral:tRNA from 1 species
UGGGGUGUCGCCAAGCGGUAAGGCACGGGGUUUUGGAUCCCGCACUGCGAAGGUUCGAAUCCUUCCACCCCAG